CUAUACUCAAAGGUGUUAAGCAGACAAUUGCUAUUUCCUUUCGUUAUGCAUAUUGCAGAACAGAAAUAAUUUAAUCCAGAAUGCUCAGAAUUUUGGUGGUGCCGGACAGGCAGAUUUUUCAGACCAUUGGAUAUAAUUUUAUUUAAUGUUUAAUUCACUUUUUUUUAAAAGAUGUUGCUCAGUACAGUAAUGUAAAGCUUUUUCUAAUUUCCAGUUUCCAGGGUGGGCAGUCUGAUUCAGCAGAUCAGCACGGAUCAUUUGGGCCAAAGGACGUGGUUCUGUGCUGUAUGACUUUGACCCUGAAGUCUACUCACGACUGUGGUAAAGCCGAGGUUCAGCCCAGUGGCUGAUGGGAGUUCAGAGGCACCAUCCUGUGACCAGUGGCGGGAUCGAGAGGUUUGGAGCUUAGAGUAGUGUCAGACCCAGCCCUUCUUCUGAUGUCCCGUGCCCUUGAUUUGGAAGCUGCAGAUGAUGUGAGCCUGCACCUCUUGCCUUCGCCCCUUCUUACCACCAGCUUGCUCCAUUCUCCUUUCAGAUCUUCACCAUGGACAGAAGGCCUUCCCGUGAGAGGAUACUGGGCUAAUUCACUGAUGUGGGAUUGAGUGGGAAUCAUGUCAGAC